rnacentral:rRNA from 1 species
GACGAACGCUGGCGGCGUGCUUAACACAUGCAAGUCGAACGGAAAGGCCCUGCUUGCAGGGUGCUCGAGUGGCGAACGGGUGAGUAACACGUGGGUGAUCUGCCCCUUACUUUGGGAUAAGCCUGGGAAACUGGGUCUAAUACUGGAUAGGACCAUGCUGUAGGCGGUGUGGUGGAAAGAUUAGUUUCGGUAAGGGAUGAGCUCGCGGCCUAUCAGCUUGUUGGUGGGGUAAUGGCCUACCAAGGCGUCGACGGGUAGCCGGCCUGGGAGGGUGGACGGCCACAUUGGGACUGAGAUACGGCCCAGACUCCUACGGGAGGCAGCAGUGGGGAAUAUUGCACAAUGGGCGCAAGCCUGAUGCAGCGACGCCGCGUGGGGGAUGACGGCCUUCGGGUUGUAAACUCCUUUCAGCCAUGACGAAGCCUUCGGGUGACGGUAGUGGUAGAAGAAGCACCGGCUAACUACGU